GCUGGGCAUGUUGGUGCAUUCCUGUAAUCUCAGCCACCUGGGAGGCUGAGGCGGGAGAAUUGCAAGUGAAAAACCAGCCUCUA
rnacentral:sRNA from 1 species